UAUCUCAGGAAUUGGCAACUGGAUUGCAAAUGAAGUGCUAUACCAAGCAAGGAUUCAUCCUUUGCAGGUUUCUUCCAGCCUGUCCAAAGAAAGCUGUGCAACUUUACACAAGUGCAUCAAGGAGCUGAUAAAUAUCUGUAGGUCAUUCAGUAUGCUGUUGAAGUUGAUGAUGACAGCUCCCGUUUUCCUAACGAUUGGUUGUUUCAUUU